UACGUAGGAGGCGAGCGUUGUCCGGAGUUACUGGGCGUAAAGGGGUGCGCAGGCGGUGGCCCGCGUGGGCGGUGAAAGCUCCUGGCUACAACUGGGAGAGGGCCGUCCAGACGGGGUCACUUGAGGGGCGGAGAGGGGCGUGGAAUUCCGGGUGGAGGCGGUGAAAUGCGUAGAGAUCCGGAGGAACACCGACGGCGAAGGCAGGCGCCCUGGCCGGCCAAUCUGACGCUCAGGCACGAAAGCUGGGGGAGCGAACAGG
rnacentral:rRNA from 1 species